GUAGCAUUCCUAGCUUGCUAGGAGAUGACGAGCGGCGGACGGGUGAGUAAUGCUUGGGAAUAUGCCUUAUGGUGGGGGACAACAGUUGGAAACGACUGCUAAUACCGCAUAACGUCUACGGACCAAAGGAGGGGAUCUUCGGACCUUUCGCCAUUUGAUUAGCCCAAGUGAGAUUAGCUAGUUGGUGAGGUAAUGGCUCACCAAGGCGACGAUCUCUAGCUGGUUUGAGAGGAUGAUCAGCCACACUGGGACUGAGACACGGCCCAGACUCCUACGGGAGGCAGCAGUGGGGAAUAUUGCACAAUGGGCGAAAGCCUGAUGCAGCCAUGCCGCGUGUGUGAAGAAGGCCUUCGGGUUGUAAAGCACUUUCAGUUGUGAGGAAAGGGAUGUAGUUAAUAACUGCUUUCUGUGACGUUAACUACAUAAGAAGCACCGGCUAACUUCGUGCCAGCAGCCGCGGUAAUACGAGGGGUGCAAGCGUUAAUCGUAAUUACUGGGUGUUAAAGCGUUCGUAGGCGGUUAUUUUAAGCAAAGAUGUGAAAGCCCAGGGCUCAACCUUGUAACUGCAUUUUUGAACUUGGGUAACUAGAGUACUGUAUAGGUGGUGGGAAUUUC
rnacentral:rRNA from 1 species